rnacentral:rRNA from 1 species
ACGGCCGCAAGGCUAAAACUCAAAGGAAUUGAAGGGGACCCGCACAAGCGGUGGAGCAUGUGGCUUAAUUCGAUGCAACGCGAAGAACCUUACCUGGUCUUGACAUACUGCGAACUUUCUAGAGAUAGAUUGGUGCCUUCGGGAACGCAGUGACAGGUGCUGCACGGCUGUAGUCAGCUCGUGUUGUGAAAUGUUGGGUUACGUCCCGCAACGAGCGCAACCCCUAUUGAUAGUUACCAUCAUUAAGUUGGGUACUCUAUUAAGAC